GCGCCCGUAGUUCAAUGGAUAGAACGCCGGCCUCCGGAGCCGAAGAUCUGGGUUCGACUCCCGGCGGGCGUA
rnacentral:tRNA from 1 species